UAAAUAAAAUUUUGGACUUGGGCCUCUCUCAUUUGAGCCCACAAGUCCACAAAAAUCAGGUUAUAAAUUUAGAGUUUCAGUGAAACAAAAUUUCAUUCUAUUCAUAUUACCCUGGCAAGGAAAAAGAUAGUGAGAGAAGAGCUAACAGAGUUCAGAGCAACCUCCAGAGACUGAAGGGAACUCAUCGGCAAAGAACCAAUUCCCUCUCUUAUAAACCCUAAGAGU
rnacentral:lncRNA from 1 species